rnacentral:pre_miRNA from 1 species
UUUACUAUUCCUCUUAUUCAAAAUUUUUGUACGAUUGAUAUUUUUUUUAUUAGAUGAUAAAUUAUGAAUAAUAUUUUACGUGUGACUAAUUUUUUUCUAAUUUCUUAAAAAAAUUUUAAAUAAGACGGAUGAUCAUCGGACACGGAAACCGAAG